UACGUAGGGCGCAAGCGUUGUCCGGAAUUAUUGGGCGUAAAGAGCUCGUAGGCGGCUUGUCACGUCGGAUGUGAAAGCCCGGGGCUUAACCCCGGGUCUGCAUUCGAUACGGGCAGGCUAGAGUGUGGUAGGGGAGAUCGGAAUUCCUGGUGUAGCGGUGAAAUGCGCAGAUAUCAGGAGGAACACCGGUGGCGAAGGCGGAUCUCUGGGCAGUAACUGACGCUGAGGAGUGAAAGCGUGGGGAGCGAACAGG
rnacentral:rRNA from 1 species